rnacentral:rRNA from 1 species
ACCUAAGGUACUUGGAAAAUCAGAGCAGCCAGAAGGUCGCAAGGCCGGAUUGCUGCUGUGGUUUCCAAGUAUCGAUAAUAGGU